rnacentral:rRNA from 1 species
UGGGGAAUUUUGCACAAUGGGGGAAACCCUGAUGCAGCGACGCCGCGUGAUUUAGAAGGCCUUCGGGUUGUAAAAAUCUUUUCUAUGGGAAGAAAAUGACAGUACCAUAGGAAUAAGGACCGGCUAAUUACGUGCCAGCAGCCGCGGUAAUACGUAAGGUCCGAGCGUUGUCCGGAAUCAUUGGGCGUAAAGGGUACGUAGGCGGGUAAGCAAGUUAGAAGUGAAAUCAUAUAGCUCAACUAUAGUAAGCUUUUAAAACUGCUCAUCUUGAGGUAUGGAAGGGAAAGUGGAAUUCCUAGUGUAGCGGUGAAAUGCGCAGAUAUUAGGAGGAAUACCGGUGGCGAAGGCGACUUUCUGGCCAUAACCUGACGCUGAGGUACGAAAGCGUGGGUAGCAAACAGG